rnacentral:snRNA from 1 species
GGGUGUGAGCAGGCAAUCUGGCUGCAACAUCUGUCACCCCAUUGAUCACCCGGGUUGCUUCAGCUGAUCUGGCUGGGUGGGUGUCCCUCCCUCACUGCUCCCGGUGUCCCCCCCACUGGUUGGAGGAGGGCUGUUUCCUUGGUCAAGGGUAUGUGAGGACAGUAGAUGUCCUCCGCUGCUAGAACCUCCAAACAAGCUCCAGAACACAGAAGUAAAUGCCGGGCCUGGUGGGGCAUGUCUGUAAUCUCAGCACUUGGGAGGCUGAGGCAGAAGAAUCACAGUAAGUGGGAGGCCAGUCU